rnacentral:lncRNA from 1 species
UCAGUGCAAGAGCCUACAAGGCAAGCGCCUUAAUUCAGGUUACUAUAGGGGCAUCCUCUGUCGUGCUGUGAUCCCAUGUGGCUGCAAAUCAUUAUCAAUGGUAGGAAAUUACAUUGCACUACUUGAAAUUUAGAAAGAUGAGUAAACUGUCAAGUAGACAUGAAAGUAUUCUCUGUGUCAUGAGGUAACCUGUCAGAAUAAUCUGGAAAGCUGUUCCAUGCAGUUUAUCUCACCAUGCUGAGUUUUGGCCAGGAUCUAGG